GCAGAGCAUCCUACGGGAGGCAGCAGUGGGGAAUAUUGCACAAUGGGCGCAAGCCUGAUGCAGCCAUGCCGCGUGUAUGAAGAAGGCCUUCGGGUUGUAAAGUACUUUCAGCAGUGAGGAAGUGGGUAUGUUAAUAGCAUAUUCAUUUGACGUUAGCUGCAGAAGAAGCACCGGCUAACUCCGUGCCAGCAGCCGCGGUAAUACGGAGGGUGCGAGCGUUAAUCGGAAUUACUGGGCGUAAAGCGCAUGCAGGUGGUUUGUUAAGUCAGAUGUGAAAGCCCGGGGCUCAACCUCGGAAUUGCAUUUGAAACUGGCAAACUAGAGUACUGUAGAGGGGGUAGAAUUUCAGGUGUAGCGGUGAAAUGCGUAGAGAUCUGAAGGAAUACCGGUGGCGAAGGCGGCCCCCUGGACAGAUACUGACACUCAGAUGCGAAAGCGUGGGGAGCAAACAGGAUUAGAUACCCUGGUAG
rnacentral:rRNA from 1 species